rnacentral:rRNA from 1 species
AUUGAACGCUGGCGGAAUGCUUUACACAUGCAAGUCGAGCGGCAGCGCGGGGGCAACCCUGGCGGCGAGCGGCGAACGGGUGAGUAACACAUCGGAACGUACCCCGUCGUGGGGGAUAACGAGUCGAAAGAUUCGCUAAUACCGCAUACGACCUGAGGGUGAAAGCGGGGGACCUGCAAGGGCAUCGCGCGAUGGGAGCGGCCGAUGUCCGAUUAGCUAGUUGGUGGGGUAAGAGCCUACCAAGGCGACGAUCGGUAGCUGGUCUGAGAGGAUGAUCAGCCACACUGGGACUGAGACACGGCCCAGACUCCUACGGGAGGCAGCAGUGGGGAAUUUUGGACAAUGGGCGCAAGCCUGAUCCAGCCAUUCCGCGUGAGUGAAGAAGGCCUUCGGGUUGUAAAGCUCUUUCGGCCGGGAAGAAAUCGUUCGGGUGAAUAAUCCGGAUGGAUGACGGUACCGGAAGAAGAAGCACCGGCUAACUACGUGCCAGCCGCCGCAGUAAAAC